UCCCUGGUUGUUCAGUGGUUAGGACUCGGGGAUUUCACCACCGUGGUCCCAGGUUCAAUCCCUGGUCGGGGAA